GACGAACGCUGGCGGCGUGCUUAACACAUGCAAGUCGAACGGUAAGGCCCUUCGGGGUACACGAGUGGCGAACGGGUGAGUAACACGUGGGUGAUCUGCCCUGCACUUCGGGAUAAGCCUGGGAAACUGGGUCUAAUACCGGAUAGGACUCCGGACUGCAUGGUCUGGGGUGGAAAGCUUUGGCGGUGUGGGAUGGGCCCGCGGCCUAUCAGCUUGGUGGUGGGGUGAUGGCCUACCAAGGCGACGACGGGUAGCCGGCCUGAGAGGGUGACCGGCCACACUGGGACUGAGAUACGGCCCAGACUCCUACGGGAGGCAGCAGUGGGGAAUAUUGCACAAUGGGCGCAAGCCUGAUGCAGCGACGCCGCGUGAGGGAUGACGGCCUUCGGGUUGUAAACCUCUUUCAGCAUCGACGAAGCGAAAGUGACGGUAGGUGCAGAAGAAGGACCGGCCAACUACGUGCCAGCAGCCGCGGUAA
rnacentral:rRNA from 1 species